ensembl:antisense Gm15577 predicted gene 15577
AGUCUGUUUGCAGAUUCUGCCUAUUGUGUGAUCAUGACUGAGGGUUUUAUUUCCAAGUUCAGUUUAGCCGCUGUACUGCGCAUCCCUGUUGUUCUUACAGGAAGGCGUUUUAUGCUUCUCUUCGGAAGCCCCUAAUCACUAGCAUCUCUACUUUUGGGGGGUUUUGGGGGUCAUUGCUGACUAAAGGCAGAUUAUUUGAAGACAUGGAUUGUGGUGUCAAGACAGAAGCCUGUGAACGGAGAGUGAAGAGUGGACAUACCAUCCCUUUCAAAGGAUGAACACUGCAGGCUUGACCAAGAGGGAGGAAACAAAACUUUCUUACCAGAGACUCGGUUCCCAUCUAAAAACGACAAAUUCUGUUUAUCUGAAAUCACAAAAAGCAAACCUGAACACUGCUCCCCAUUUUUAAAGCCUUGAGUUUCCGACAUAUGCUCCUACCAACUGUUGUGAGAACUACAGUGGCUAUACUGGGCUGUUGCCGCUGGCUCUGUUUGAAUACUCUGUGGAGGGCCAGUUACCAAGACCUUGAGGUUAGAGGUGAGAGAUGAGCGGCUCUUGCAGUUCGUUGAAGGAUUCUAAACAUUCCCUACUUUGCCUGCAACAGUGAUACCCAGGACAGCUGUUUCUCUGGCACUGUGAAGCUCAGAGACAGUCAGGAAUGUUCAUUGAACAUCCUGGUCACACCACUUCCCAAGUAAUAAGCCAGGGUGGACUAAGCCACUGAAGAACAUGUAUGCUUCAACAGUACUGAGUCAGAACCUGGCUUGUCAGACCAUACUAGAUCUCAGAGCAAAGCUUUUAUCAUAGGACUGAGAGCAAGCAGCAAGUGGGGAUGGCAGUGAGUGUGAGUGGUGGCCCAUGGUGCCACAUGCUCUCUUCUGUGUUUCUCCUUCUAUGUGCCAUUUUGUCUUUAUCUUAUGUCUUGUGGAGAGUUAAUGGAAAGUGAAGAAUCCAUGGACUUCAAUGAUGUUUGAUGUUCAAAACAAAAAUGACCUCCCCUCACAGGUCAGAUAUACCUAGCAUUCCUUGCUGUUUCUUUGUCCCUAUAAAUUGCAGUGAAGGAACUGACAUACAUUGAAUUUCUAAAUAAGUAAAAAAUUCAGUAAGAGUAUGAGGUGCCAAAUGAUUUGAUUUUUGCCAAUGGAACAGUUCAUUCAUCUACUUCCACAGGAGAACAGCUGUGUCCACAGAGUGAUUUGAGCUCCUAGUUUGAAAAAAUAAUUUAAUAAAUGAACAAAUAUACAAAAGUUAUAAAGCCAUGGCUGAACUUCAUACCUGCAUUUUGCUUUUUACUACAAAGAAAAUAUUAUAUUUUUUAAAAGAAAUUUCCCUGGACCAUGUGUUAUUGAAAUUGGGAUGCAAACGCUUUGUUAAAAUUUUAUAUGUAUGAGCAUUUGGGUCACUAUAGGACCUCUAACCAGUUAAUUAACGUACAUAAAGUGAUUUCCUUUUUGUACUAUAAGGAAAUGGCAUCUAGCUAUUAAUAAGUGUAGUUAAACAAAAUAGAGACAAUAGCUAUAAAACUGUGUGUCCUACACAAUCUGCACACACUUGUGCUGCUGUUUUGAGUGAACUUCUGUUUUCACAGCAACCUUCUCCACCUCCCUCUUCCCAGAUCAGCACAAGUGCCUGAGAAGAAUGCAAUGGGCGAGGCCCACAGUGAGUCAGGCUGCAGUGGGUAUUGCUGUGACAGUGGCAUUCAUCAGCAGCACUGAGGUUGAGAAUGCUCAUUUAGCUGUGGUUGAAUUGUUCACAUCAAAACAAAAUCUCAUCUGUAUUACAGAAACUCGGCUGUGUUGGGCUUUGAACAUAAUCCAAGACACUGAAGAUGGGAACAGAUUUGGGCAUUUGGAGAAACCCGAGCGAGAAAGGCGUUCUUCAUUUUUUGUGCUUAUUUGCCUCAAAGGGUGCUCUGAUUUUGCUAAUUGCUCAGAGAGCGCUUCGAUUUGCUAUUUUCUGCAAACAGUAUUCUAAUCCAGUUUAGCUUCUGGGUUGCAGCUGUGUUCAAGUGGCCUAAUAGGUUUGCUGCAUGCCGCACUACAUUGCAAUUAAUUCACUGGGUUCCUCAUGUGAAAUGAUUUACACCUAUUUAGAACUAAAUUGGAAGCCAUUCCACCAUUGCAUCUGAAGUCAUUAACACAGCUUUUAAACGACAUUAAUAUGCACUUAAUCCUUUUCAGAUAAGGAUCUCAAAGCACUCUGAGUUCAUUAUCAUUAAUGUGGGAGAGAGGAUUGAAAGCUGUAUUCAGAAGUGACUUUGAAAGAUAGGAAUAAAUAAAAAUUCAUUUAAAAC